GCAUUGUGGUUCACUGGUAGAACUCUCACCUUCCAUGCAGGAGACCUGGGUUCAAUUCUCAGCCAGUGCA
rnacentral:tRNA from 1 species